ensembl:lncRNA
CCCCCAACCACUCUCUCUUAUACACAUCUCUUUCUUGUACACAUUUCAUGACUCAUGGACUGUUGGACACUAUUUCACAGACUUAAAGGAAUGAAACAAUACUUUUGUGAAUGAAUCUGAAAGGAAAAGCUUUCAAUGCAAGUAUGGGCGUGCGUGUACUACCUGAAAUGUGUGGCUUUUAAAGAUUACGCAACAGCCUUUUUAAAGGCACUUUAAAAUCAGACUGGAUGUGGUUGCCUAGUGAGUGAGGAUGUCUAUUAGAAAUAGAGAGAUAUUAAAGUACAUUCAGAACAUGGUUAUAUUAUCAUUUAUAAACUGGGUGGUUAAAACCCUGAAUGCUGAUUGUCUGACAGCAGUGAUGUAUCAGACCAUAGACCACGCGUAUGACAAAACAUGUAUUUUUACUGCUCUAAUAACGCUGGUAACCAGUUUAUAAUAGCAAUAAGGCACCUCAGGAUUUUGUGGUAAAUGGCCAAUAUACCACGGCUAAGGCCUGUAUCCAGGCACACCGCAUUGCAUCGUGCCUAAGAACAGCUCUUAGCCGUGGUAUACUGGCCAUAUAUCACACCCCCAUGGGCCUUAUUGCUUAAUUAUACAUUACCUUCAUUUCGAUGUAAAUGUGCAAAAUACUGUUAUUCAAGCUACAUUCCAAAACGUCUGGUCUAUUUUAGUCUUGGAUGCCUAGGUGAAAGCCUGUGACAGAUGCUAGGUCUAUGGAAACCUGAUGUGAGAUCAUGUGAAACAGUAAAACUAAUAGCAAGCUAAUGGUAAGAUGUGUGCCUACCUGCCACAGGUAUUCACACAGAAAAAUAUCUGACACAGUAAUUACACAUUAAUUACUGGAGAGAGAAUACUUUAUCCCUACAUCGUAACCUGACAUAAACAGGAUCGAGCCAUACUGAUUUGGGUCAGAGCAUAGACACACAGGUCAAAACAAUGAUUAGUCUAACAUGCACAGAUAAAAGGAUUUCCACGUUAUGGCAAUGAUUUAUAUCCCUAUUUACCAUUUCUUUGUCCUUUUAAGCCUUGCAUUUUAGACACAGUUUGCUGUAAACAGCAUCAAUCACUUUAAAUUGAAUGCAUUUCAUUUCUAAUACAGGUACAGAAUAUUGACUAGACAUUGAGGCCCCUGUGGAAAAUGAAGAUCAUUCUGCCAAAGUGAUGUCACUGAUGCUCUGUGGCGACCGGACAAUGACCCAACACACCUCCAGGCUGUAUAAGGGCUAUUUGACCAAGAAGGAGAGUGAUGGUACUGCAUCAGAUGAUCUGGCCCCC